rnacentral:rRNA from 1 species
AUUGAACGCUGGCGGCAUGCCUUACACAUGCAAGUCGAACGGUAACAGGUCUUCGGAUGCUGACGAGUGGCGAACGGGUGAGUAAUACAUCGGAACGUGCCUAGUAGUGGGGGAUAACUACUCGAAAGAGUGGCUAAUACCGCAUGAGAUCUACGGUUGAAAGCAGGGGAUCGCAAGACCUUGUGCUACUAGAGCGGCCGGUGGCAGAUUAGGUAGUUGGUGGGAUAAAAGCUUACCAAGCCGACGAUCUGUAGCUGGUCUGAGAGGACGAUCGGCCACACUGGGACUGAGACAAGGCCCAGACUCCUACGGGAGGCAGCAGUGGGGAAUUUUGGACAAUGGGCGCAAGCCUGAUCCAGCAAUGCCGCGUGCAGGAUGAAGGCCUUCGGGUUGUAAACUGCUUUUGUACGGAACGAAAAGCCCUGGGUUAAUACCCUGGGGUCAUGACGGUACCGUAAGAAUAAGCACCGGCUAACUACGUGCCAGCCGCCGCAGUAAUAC